UGUUUAAUGGAAGAAGCAACAAUUGAUGUC
rnacentral:piRNA from 1 species